GAAACAACAUGUCUCACUCUCUCGCUCACACACACACACACACACACACAUCUCCAAACAGUUCUCGUCUUAUAACCGAGAGAGAAAAAAAAAGAAACGUUCCUUAUUUUGUUUUCUCCAGGAUUCACGCCGAGAGUUAAUCCAGACCUAUUCUACUUGGAGGAAUCUGCAUUUCAAGCAACAUAAUUAGAUAAGAAAUGAAAAUCAGAUGGAUCCUACAAUGGUGAAUUGAAUCGAAUUGGCUGAAGAUUGAUAUCUAAGAUGGUGGGGAUCUCAGGAAGAGGCUGCGAAGGAUCAUCUACUUGACACUUCCAGCUGAAGAUUUUAUGCUGUUAUGAACAUUGGGUUCACCAGAAUCAAAUGGGAAGCAUGAAUUGUAUAUCACCAGUCAUAAAAUACUGCUCAACAAAGUGCAGUUUAAUGCAACGAAAUAUAUCAGUUUCAUAAUGUAAUAGCACUACUGAACACCGAUGGAUGUCGAAUUACAUUAUCACUGUGAUUAAAGUGCAAGUUCUGUACAUUGCCAUAAAUGGUAGGGUUUGCUCCACGAAUCAAGUUUUACUUCCUACUACAAAUUGAAAAAUAAUCUAUUAUAUCAGAAUGGGGAACAUUUUGAAUCAUCACAAGAUUAAUUGGCAACAAGAUUGAGAAAUGAAAAAUGUUGUAACACUUUGCACUACAAUAAAGAAAUUGCACAUAACAUUAUUUCUUUUUACAUUAAAAGACAUAAGCGAA